CCUGCUCUGCAAGCUUCCAGGAACCCUACUGUCUCUGCUUCCUCUCUCAUGGUAAGAGUGCUGGGAUUACAGAUGUGUGACACCACAUCCAGCUUUUUUAAUGUGACUUUUGAGGACUAAAACUCGGGUUCUAAUGUUUUCACAGCAAGCAUGUCACACACUGAGCCAUCUCCCAAGAUGACAGGUACGAAUUAAAAUUAACGACAGAACAAUUAAAGUGUAAAACUGUAAAUACUACAAACCCCAAAAAGCUUAAAUACAUAUGUAAUUAUUUAAAUGAACAAUAUAAAGAAGCAGAAAGUAUAUAUCCUUGGUCAAUAUUUCUUCCCAGUUAGAGAGAUACGAUUUCUCCCGCCAUUUGCUUUGUCUUUUUCUCCCACUAGUUUCCACGAGUGCUAAGGACUGUUAUUACUCUCAGUGUGAGUCAGUCUCAGUAACUCAACUAAGCUAAGUCAAACUUUCUUCCCACAAAGGAUUACUAUGGGUGAGGAGUAAUUUUUUUGGCAGACUUUUUCCUACCUCUUUUCUAUGAGGUUACAAAUUAACAGUCCAUCCCUUGUGCUUUUUUGGGAUCAGUGCUUUGCCAAGGAUAGUCUGAGACAGAGGCUCUCAGGAAGUACUGACUGUGCUCAUCUGCAAUCAGUCCACCAGGACACGGGAGCAAGCUUUACCGCAAACUCUUUGCAAUCCUAUUCUCCUAUACUUUGCCCUGACAAUUGUAGGCCUGGGUGAGUGUCAAGAAUCCUGUGUCCCUAAAUGGACUGCCUUUUCUGGCCUCAAUGCGCGAGGACAUGCCUAGUCCACAGUGACAUGGUGUGUGGAGCGGGGGAGAGAGUUAGUGUGGGGCUAACACCCAGAGUCUUUUGAGACGGGGAAGGUGGAAUGGAGGAAGAACUUACAUGAGGAGGUACUGGGAGGAGAGGAAGGGGCUGAUAUUGAAAUGUAAGGUGAAUUUAGAAAAUUCCUCAUCUUCAGAUUCCCUUACUAUAUACUUCUGCUGCUGUCUCCUAUUAUUUGUGUUGCUUAUGAUCUCUCUUAUUGUCAUCAGGAUAUUAUACCAUGAUUCAAGAUCUACAUUGCAUUCUCUGUGACUCUUUGCCUCUCUGGGCAAUGGCAGGGAAAAGGGGAGUAGGGUAUUUCCGGUCUCUCCACUUCAGCUCCCUCACCCAUAUUCUCAUGCUGUGUACACAGCCUUCUGUGUUCCACACUCCCACAGGUUUGUGUUGAAUCAUUAGUGGGACCUAGCACUUCAUGGGCUACAUGGUGUGGCAGGGCUGUAGUUGAGAGCUGAUUUCUUUAAACAGAAAAUUCAGCCCAAUACUGUUUCCCUUGAUUUCCCAGAUGCAGGCCGUAUCUGCCAUGUCGAAGUCCGAGUUCAUCUUUAUAGGAAUCAGCAGCCAUACCACUCUGUCAUAUGACAGAGACAUGCCGAUGCAGCUUUGACUUUGAGUGAGAAUGGCUAUCAUCAAGAAAACAAGUGGGAGCAAACACUAGAGAAGAUGUGUGGGAAGAUGGACCUUACAUCCUGCAGAUGCACACAUAGCAAGGAGAAGAAAUGAGAGAGAUUGCCCUGGGUGAACAAGGGCAAGCACCCCUGAGCAGAAUGAGAGUGGAUACUGCCCUGGCUUCCAGUUACUGUGGGUGAGAGUGUUACCAGAAAUCAAGAACAAAAUAAAAUAACAACAAAAAGAAUGUCAUUUCUUGUCAUAUUUAUCCUUUUCAAGGAUUCUAAAUGUUGGAUUCAAUUUCAUGAAGAUUAGUUAAAUAUAUAAAAGAUUGGGAAUUCCUCAUAUUAAAAGUGAAAAAAAUAAUGUAGAUCAUUAAGACUCGGUACUAGCAAGACUGUGUUUUUCUUCUCUUAAAGUGCCACACUCCUUCCCUCUGGUGGUGUCAUUAUGACACCUUUUAAAUAUUUUGUUAAAAUCUUAUGGAUUUUUAUUAUUUUAAUAUUUUUAAACUUCCUUUUAAACUAUCUGAUUCUAAUGGGACACAAUUCA